CGACCGGCGCACGGGUGAGUAACGCGUAUCCAACCUGCCCACCCACUUGGGGAUAACCUUGCGAAAGUAAGACUAAUACCCAAUGAUAUCUCUAGAAGACAUCUGAAAGAGAUUAAAGAUUUAUCGGUGAUGGAUGGGGAUGCGUCUGAUUAGCUUGUUGGCGGGGUAACGGCCCACCAAGGCAACGAUCAGUAGGGGUUCUGAGAGGAAGGUCCCCCACAUUGGAACUGAGGCACGGUCCAA
rnacentral:rRNA from 1 species